CGCGUAGGCGGUCGGGUAAGUCGGGUGUGAAAUUCCGGGGACUCAACCCCGUGAACUGCAUCCGAUACUGCUCGACUAGAGAGAGGUAGGGCGAGUAGAAUUCCGGUGUAGCGGUGGAAUGCGUAGAUAUCGGGAAGAACACCGGUGGCGAAGGCGGCUCGCUGGGCCUCAUCUGACGCUGAAGCGCGAAAGCGUGGGGAGCAAACA
rnacentral:rRNA from 1 species